GAUGAAGAACGCAGCGAAAUGCGAUAAGUAAUGUGAAUUGCAGAAUUCAGUGAAUCAUCGAAUCUUUGAACGCACAUUGCGCCCGUUAGCAUUCUAGCGGGCAUGCCUGUCCGAGCGUCAUUUCAACCCUCAGGGUCCCCGUUCCGGCGGGGAACCUGGUGUUGGGGAUCGGCCCGCCCCGUGCGGCGCCGUCCCCCAAAUUCAGUGGCGGUCUCGCUGCAGCCUCCCCUGCGUAGUAGUUACAACCUCGCAUCGGAGCUCAGCGCGGCCACGCCGUAAAACCCCCGACUUUCUGAACGUUGACCUCGGAUCAGGUAGGAAUACCCGCUGAACUUAAGCAUACAAUAAGCGGAGGA
rnacentral:misc_RNA from 1 species